rnacentral:rRNA from 1 species
UAAGACUGGGAUAACUCCGGGAAACCGGGGCUAAUACCGGAUAACAUUUUGAACCGCAUGGUUCGAAAUUGAAAGGCGGCUUCGGCUGUCACUUAUGGAUGGACCCGCGUCGCAUUAGCUAGUUGGUGAGGUAACGGCUCACCAAGGCAACGAUGCGUAGCCGACCUGAGAGGGUGAUCGGCCACACUGGGACUGAGACACGGCCCAGACUCCUACGGGAGGCAGCA